CCUUGUUUAAUGAUUAAGGAUAGGCUUGUGUGUCCUCUUGCCUUGUAUAUGUAAUUUGUUAUUAUCUUUUCCAGGUACUCAGUACAACAUGUACGAGUCCAACUUCUACUUGGUCUUAAGAGUUUUGUGAGCAUGAUUUAGCUGGCAUGUUGCCGAAUGGUAAUGUGACGUUUACUGUGGGAGAGAUAAAAAACAUAAUGCACCAGUUACUACAUGGCUUGUGCUACGUUCAUAGUAAUAAGAUCAUGCAUAGAGAUCUGAAGUCGGCCAGUAUACUUCUCACAAAAGCUGGAAUAUUGAAAUUAGCAGACUUUGGUUUGGCGAGGCCAUUUACUGCCAGCCAGUGUAAUCGGUUAUUCAAUGUUUGAUGUGACAUGUUAAGGAUACCUAUGCCUGUGCCCUACUGGUUGAGCUGCUUGUUUUUGAUCCAAGGAAAUGCUGCACAUCACAUAUUGCCAUAAAUCAUGCCUUCUUCUGGACUGACCCAUUGUGAUCUGUCCAAAAUGCUGGCACAGCAUACCAGAAGCUUGCUUCAGUGCACCAUCUCAUAGGCCUGGACACAUGCAACCACACCAGGAUAGAAUAUAUUGAACAGUGUUAUAUUGUGUGUGUGAGUAUAUACAGUGUGUCCCAGGAG